AGAGCACCAAGCAUGAUACAUAGUAAAAACACUGAGCAAAAAUAACCUAGGCCUAUCAUUCAAACUGCAGAGAACCAAAAGCAAAGAGAAAAACAUUAAAAGAAAGGAAGAAGUCUUACCUAUGGAGGAACAAGGAUAGAAAUGGUAAAAGACUUCUGUUGAACACUGGGCAAACAGAAAUUGUGGAAGAAAAGAUUUAAAUCAGAAUAUGGAAAAGAAAAUGCCACCAACCUUGAACUCCUUAUCCAGUGAAACCAUUUUUGAGAAUUGAGAAAGAAAUAAGUACUUCUCCGAAAAGCCUAAGGGAAUCCAUUACACGACACACACAAAAAGUUAAAAACUUCUUCAGACAGAAAGAAAAUGAUAUAGGGCAGAUAUUUGGUCUUUAGAGAAAAACCAAGAGCACCAGAGAAAGAAUGGAUAAAAUAAACGGCAAACGCCCAGCUCAGGCAUGACACGCAACAGCAACGGAGGGCUCAUACAUCAUUACGUCCAGAUUCCUGCUGCGGCAGCCAUUCACUCAUUGGGAAAUACUGAGUGCGAGACUAACACCAACUGGAGUGCCAGGCUUCCUGAAAUGGACUGCUGCCAGGGGCCAGAAGGGAAUAACCCCAACCUACCCCACUCCUGCGGCAGUGAUGUGGGCCACACUACGAGGGCC